rnacentral:rRNA from 1 species
GACGAACGCUGGCGGCGUGCUUAACACAUGCAAGUCGAACGGGCCCGCCCCUGUUUUUGGGGGUGGGUUGAGUGGCGAACGGGUGAGUAUCACGUGAGUAACCUGCCCCCUGCUCCUGGAUAACUGCUUGAAAGGGCGGCUAAUACGGGGUGUGCCGGCUGGUCCGCAUGGGCCUGGUCGGGAUAGUUUCAUCUUCGGGUGUUUCGGUGGGGGAUGGGCUCGCGGCCUAUCAGCUUGUUGGUGGGGUGAUGGCCCACCAAGGCGGUGACGGGUAGCCGGCCUGAGAGGGUGGGCGGCCACACUGGGACUGAGACACGGCCCAGACUCCUGCGGGAGGCAGCAGUGGGGGGUAUUGCACAAUGGGCGGAAGCCUGAGGCAGCGACGGCGCGUGAGGGAUGGAGGCCUUCGGGUUGUGAACCUCUUUCUCCGGUGGUGAAGGCCCUGUCCGUUGCGGCGGGGUUGACGGUAGCCGGGUAUGAAGCGCCGGCUAACUACGUG